rnacentral:rRNA from 1 species
UUCGCUGACGAGUGGCGGACGGGUGAGUAAUGUCUGGGAAACUGCCUGAUGGAGGGGGAUAACUACUGGAAACGGUAGCUAAUACCGCAUAAUGUCGCAAGACCAAAGAGGGGGACCUUUGGGCCUCUUGCCAUCGGAUGCGCCCAGAUGGGAUUAGCUUGUUGGUGGGGUAACGGCUCACCAAGGCGACGAUCCCUAGCUGGUCUGAGAGGAUGACCAGCCACACUGGAACUGAGACACGGUCCAGACUCCUACGGGAGGCAGCAGUGGGGAAUAUUGCACAAUGGGCGCAAGCCUGAUGCAGCCAUGCCGCGUGUAUGAAGAAGGCCUUCGGGUUGUAAAGUACUUUCAGCGGGGAGGAAGGGAGUAAAGUUAAUACCUUUGCUCAUUGACGUUACCCGCAGAAGAAGCACCGGCUAACUCCGUGCCAGCAGCCGCGGUAAUACGGAGGGUGCAAGCGUUAAUCGGAAUUACUGGGCGUAAAGCGCACGCAGGCGGUUUGUUAAGUCAGAUGUGAAAUCCCCGGGCUCAACCUGGGAACUGCAUCUGAUACUGGCAAGCUUGAGUCUCGUAGAGGGGGGUAGAAUUCCAGGUGUAGCGGUGAAAUGCGUAGAGAUCUGGAGGAAUACCGGUGGCGAAGGCGGCCCC